AUUAAUCUUCAGGUUCCAGCUUUCAGAUGAUGUACACCACUUCUAUGUGACAUCUACUGUUGACCUGCUACCUCCCCCUUCAGAUCCCCUGGACCCCCCUAAAAAAGACAAAAACGGCUAUAUUGUUGGUCUCAGAGGGUUAAAAUACUCCAGUGAAGUGA